rnacentral:lncRNA from 1 species
AUGUGUCUAUUAAUUGAUAUGGAAAAAAAAUGUGUUCCAAACUUAUCUUAAGCGCGUCAGAAGUUCAAACAACAUACUUUUCCUUUUUUUAAAAAAAAAAAAAUCUUUUCCAGAAACCACCAUUAACGCCACCCUACCACCACUGCUUCGCCAUUGUCGCCGCCACAAAAGUCCUACCACCUUAGCAGCAUAGAAACAUCAUCCAACUCUGCCAUACCAUUGUCACAAUCCGCCUCCCUUCCACCAUGGAUUAUCUUUGCGCUGCCAUCAUCUUGCCCUAAAGCCACCACCGUCUUCUUACAGAACCUCACACUCCGGCCACCAUGAAAGCCCCUGGAGCCAUCACAGAACCUCUUUUUACCACAAACAUCUUCUUCCUUCAUAUCCACCUCAAAAUGCUACCAAUGAACCCCUCCAUUAGAUCACUCUCCACCAUCGAACAACCCACACAACCACAACAUUUCAACGCUCCGUUACCGCUGCCACCACAAGAAAUUCAGUCGCCAACGAAAUCCGACCACCACAAACACCUCUAGCCAUUGUUUAUUUUUUCUUCUCUUCUAAUCGCCACCAUGAGCAUACCAUCGGAUAUUCUCCUUAAAUCACAACCAAAAUUCCUUUAAAGGGAGUGAGAGUGGGGUUUUCUGAAAUAGAAGCAGAAAGGGAGGGUAUUGGGUGGGGGAAGAAGAAAGGGAAGGUGGGAGGAAGAAGAAAAUGUUUUCUGAAAAUGAAGAAAAAAAGGAAGGAUGGGGAGGAGGACUUGCUGCACCGUACGCCGGUGACGGCAGAGGAGUGGGGCAGCGAUUUUUUCCCCGGAAAAGGGUCAGAAUUGCCCUUAACGUAUAAAAAAUGGUCUAAAAAUUACAAAGUGUAAUCCCACUUAGUGGGGUCUGGUGAAAAUUACAAAGUGUAAUCCCACUUAGUGGGGUCUGGAGAGCGUAGUGUGUACUGUGGGUCCUCGUCUUGGCAAAGAAUGAAUAACGAAUAUAGUAUGAAGUGAAAGUUAGAAAAUUUAUUUUGGGAAGAAUAUUUUAUGAAUUCAAAUAUAUUACUCCCUCCGUUUCAAUUUAUGUGAACCUAUUUAACUGGGCACGGAGUUUAAGAAAAGAGAGAAGACUUUUGAACUUGUGGUGUAAAAUGAAGCACAUAUAUUUUGUGUGGCUAUAAAUCAUUGCAUUGCAUAAAGGUAAAUUGUUUUCAAAUAGGGAAAGAGGUCAUUCUUUUUGGCACGGACUAAAAAGGAAAUAGGUUCACAUAAAUUGAAACGGAGAGAGUAUUAAGGAUAAACUAGUAAAAGCUUUGGCCAAAAUAAAAGUGCUUGCUGAAAUGUCGUAAGUUGGGGGUGACGAACUUAUGACUUAAGGCUAAUUUUAACUUAUAAGCACUUUGGGUGUUUACCAAACUCGUAUAUAAGCCAGUUUAACCGGCUUAUAAGCUUAGCCAAAUAAACUGGCACCCCAUUUUUUGGGGCCAACCCCGGUACCCCCCCCCCCCCAAACCAUAACCAACUUUACCAUGCAAUCGUGCAUGCAACUUUAUCAACGUUUAACCUAUUUCAAUUUGCUGUCACAUUAUAUUUCCAGUUCCAUAAGUUUGCUUUCCUAUUCCGGCAUUAAUGUAAAUCUACAGUCAGUUUUACUGAUGAUAGUAAUAUAUAUCUCUACCUGCAUAUUGAUAUUCAAUAUACAAACAUGCAGAAUAAUAUACUUUUCCUUUGGGAUGGCCCCUUUUCCUCCCUCACGAUAUUGCUUUUGUUUUCUUAAUUCCCUCACUAUAUAAUUAUUUUUCUUUCUUGUUUAUAAUUCUUUCGUUCUCCUAGCUAUUAUCAAGAGGAUCACUCUAUAUAAUUCUCCCUUUUUACAACAAAAAAUUAUAAAUUGGGCUAACAAAUUAAAGCCUUUUUGUUCCUGAAGGUAGGGGUAAAUAUGUGUACAUACUACCCUCUUCAGGCCCCGCUUGUGGGAUUAUAUUGGAUUUUCUUUUUGUUGUUGUUGUUCCUGAGCUGAAACUAAUUGAGUUUCGUGUUGUGGUGGUGGGGAGGAGAAGGGGGCAGGAUGAGCUUGGUGGUGAUCCAAAUAAUGGUGGUGGCCCUUCUCUUUGUCAAUAGUCACAGCUUCGCCAAUGCCGACACAGAUCCAUCUGACGGUCAGCUUCAAAUCCUGGCUCCACUUCUGCUCGAAAUGAAUAAAUUACUGAAUUGGUAUAAUCAUGGGACUGAUUGACCAUUAGUACAGAAGUUUCAAAAUAUAUAUAUAUAUAUAUAUAUAUAUAUUUUGAAACUUUUGUAAACUAAGAAAGAAUUUCGUUGUCACUCAACUUAUGAACAGAUGUGGAACACUUAAAUUAAAGGUGUUUGAUUGGGUACGAAGUUUAAUAAAGAAAACUUAUGAUCCAUAACAAACCAUAAAUAUCCAUGUAGCUAUAAAUCAUCUCAUUAAGAGUAAAAUUAGAAGUUUAAACUAGAGAAAAGUGUCAUUUUCUUAACAGAUUAAAAAGGAAUGUAGAUUGGUUACCUUGAAAAUUUCUUUUUCGUCUUCUUGAGCCGAUGGUCUAUUGAAAAUAGCCUCUCUGCCCCAUCGGGUAGGGGUAAGCUCUGUGUACACACUACACUUCUCAGAUCCCAUUUGUGAGAUUUUACUGAGUCGUCGUUGUUGUUGUUGUUAUAUGGCUAAUUUUCAGCUUCAGCCCUGAGAGUAAUGUAUAGCUCCCUAAAUUCACCGGCGCAGCUUACAAAUUGGAACUCAUCUGACGGUAGCGAUCCUUGUGGAGAAUUCUGGAAAGGCAUUACUUGCUCCGGCAAUAGAGUAACUGAAAUGUAACAUUGUUCUCUUCAAUAUAUACCCAUCCUAUCAUCAUUUUUCAACGCAUUUAUUGAUUUGCAACUAAUGUUGAUGUUUAGUUUUCAUAUUUCAUUUUCCUUCAGACAGAUAUCCGGUCUAGGACUCUCUGGAUCAAUGGGAUACCAAUUAACUAGUCUUACAUCUGUGACCAAUUUGUAAGAUUAAUGAAUUUCAAUUAUUUCCUUAAUUCCUUCUUUGAUUUGUGUUUAAGUCCUAGAAAUUGUAAUAUUUCGGGUAUUUUAAUUUGCAGUGACAUAAGCAACAAUAAUCUGGGAAACCAGAUACCUUAUCAGCUUCCUCCAAAUGUGCAGAGACUGUAUGUGUUUUUCUAUGGAAUUUAAUUUUUUGUCCUUAAUUCAAGGCUCUAGUCCUUUUUUUUUAAUUUACUAUUCAUACUGAGCCGAGGGUCGAUUGGAAACAGUCUCUCUAUCCUCACAAGGUAGGGGUAAGGUCUGCGUACAUACUACCCUCCCCUGACCCCCACGGUGUGGGAUAAUACUGGGUAUGUGGUUGUUGUUGUUGUACUAUUCAUACAUCAUUCUGACCAGUUGCCUCGUAACGCAGUAACCUUGCUGCUAAUGGUUUUACUGGUGGCUUACCUUAUUCGAUUUCACAAAUGACUUCCCUUCAAUACUUGUGAGUGAAAAUUUUAAAUUAAAAUCAUCUAUAUAGGUAACAUUAGGCUCAUUGUUCUAAUUUUCUCUCCAAUUGUUGUGUCUGGUUUUGUAGAAAUGUCAGUCAUAAUCAAAUUCAAGGAGAACUGAAUGACAUGUUUGGAUCACUUUCUUCUCUCAACACGUUGUAAGGCCUUCUCUUCAUUUCUUCCCUUUCUUAUAUAUAUACAUUGAAAUUACCCUGUUAUGAUUGAGAAGUUCAAUGUAUAAUGUGCUAUUCUUGAUAGAUAUAUAAACUUUCCCAAUCAAUUUAUUAUGCGAACUGUUCCCACCAAGUGCAAAAAGGUCCAAAGAUGCUUGUUUGUCGCCAUAUUAAUGAUGAGAAUGGGUUUGAUCCUUGACCUGAUCAGAGACGGAUCGAGGAUUUAAAUCAUAUGGGUUCAACUUUUAAAGUUUUUAGCAUUGAACCCAUUAUAUUUUUAAAAGUAUAGGUUCGUAUUUACUAUUUUUGCAAUUUUAAUGAAUUUUUACAUAUAAAUUGUUAUUUCGAGAAUGCACUACAUCCGCCCCUGGACCUGAUGCAUUGAAAUUUUAAGUUCUCAAAGUAUCAUGAGCAUAAAUUAGUCUUUGACAUGUAUCUUUUGUUUUUCCUGGUUGAUUACAUUUAUGCUUUGUCCAUUGUUGCUUACUUUUGGUUGUUUACAUUUAUGCUUCAGGGAUAUCUCUUUCAAUUCAAUGACCGGUAAACUUCCUCAAAGCUUCCAGUCACUGACUAGUAUGAAGAAAAUGUAAGACCGGUAUCUUCUGAUUCAUUUUUGUUCUGUAUUGGUUGAGUACUGUCCUUUCAGAUAUUGAAGUUCUAGUAUUAUGUUGUGCAGAUACCUGCAGAACAACCAGUUUACAGGAAAUAUUGAUGUCCUCGCCAAUCUUCCUCUUGACAAUCUGUGAGUUAUUCACAUCUUUGUGUGUGUAAAUGUUAUCCCUGAUGUCAAAUGUUUCAUUUCCAGGCUUACAGUAAUUUAUUGUUUGUCAUGUUGAUUCCUUCAUGCUUUAGGAGUCUUGAAAACAAUCAGUUUACUGGCGCGAUACCCGAGAAGUUAAAAGGGAUAUUGCAGUGAGUGUUUCAGUACAUUAUUAAUUAUUGUUCAUCAUUGAUAGAUAAUAACUUUAUAUUCAAUUCGGGACUUGUGAUACGAUUGUAGAAAAUCUAAUAGUAACACAGGAAGCUCAGGGCCAGCCCCUCCGCCUCCACCUGGCACAACCCCCCCGAAUCACAAAUCCGGAGGCAAUGGCAGCCCUUCCAGUGGUGGAGGUAGCAGUGAUAGAAAUGAGAAAUCUGGUAUAGACAGUAGAGGCGUUGCAGGUAUAGUCAUAUCAGUUUCAGCGGUCGGCGCAGUUGCAGUUUUCUUUAUUAUCAAGAAAAGACAUAGAAAGUCGUCAACAGACAUAGAAAAACUUGACGUUCAGCCAUUCUCUCUUGAUUCACAGGAAGGACAAGGUAUAUAAUUUUGUGACUGCUGUUUUCUUUUGUUUUUGUUCAUUGAGAGUAAUAUUUAGUCCACAUGUUAUAUAUCUACGUGGUUUUUUGAAAUAUGGCAUUAAAAGUUAUGAUUUAUUGUAGGCUUUAAUUAGAUUAUAAAUAACAACUUUAUGGACCAAAAAAUGUCCUAUCUUCAAAAGAGACAAAUUUCAAACCUAAAGCUGCAAAGACUUAAUGUUCGAAAUCCAGCAGAUUUUAUAAAGCAGGUUCUGAGUUACCUGAUGCUUUUGAAGCUUAACAUUACAAAGAAAAAGCUCAUUUUAUGCUCUCUUAUGGUGGAUAGGAUCCUUCCUGUCCAUGUUAGCUUAUUUGAAUAUAGAGCACAAUCUAUUGCGGUACAUCAGUAGAAUAAGAUAAAUUUGUUUUGGCAAGUUAGAAAAUCAGCACCCUUAUAAUCACAAAAAAUUUCAGAAAUGUAAUUGCCUUAUAAGAGCACUCAUAACUCAGGAUGCAAGUUCCAGAAAAGGGAAUGAUCAAUUCUCUUAUCCUUAUGGAAUUUCAUUUGUAACAUGGUCAAUUUCUUUAAAUUCUGUAUUGUCAUGUGAUCAGAGUUCCAGAUUGCAUUUGCCUCUUUUACUAAUAUUGUUUUCAUUGUGUUAGCUUUGGUACCUGGAUUUUGUAUUCAUCACCUAUUUUUGGCUGCAGAGAUGAAAAUUAGCCAAAAUUCCUCGACAACAAGCAUGAAAGCUGUAGAAACUCCCAGUGCAAUGACUCUAAGACCUCCACCAAUCAAUCAUCAUAAAUCCUUUGAUGGAGAUACUAUUUCAGAAAAACACAUUGUUCCUCAGAAUAAAACUCAUACAGCUCAAAUGAAUGUUGUACAAUAUUCAUUUGCAGACCUACAAAUGGC